rnacentral:rRNA from 1 species
UACGGAGGGAGCUAGCGUUGUUCGGAAUUACUGGGCGUAAAGCGCGCGUAGGCGGACCUGCAAGUCGGGGGUGAAAGCCCGAGGCUCAACCUCGGAACUGCCUUCGAUACUGCGGGUCUCGAGUCCGGGAGAGGUGAGUGGAAUUCCUAGUGUAGAGGUGAAAUUCGUAGAUAUUAGGAAGAACACCAGUGGCGAAGGCGGCUCACUGGCCCGGUACUGACGCUGAGGCGCGAAAGCGUGGGGAGCAAACAGG